AGCGUUCCCAUUGGCCGGAGCCUACGCGCGUCACGGCGCUCGCCCCGCCCCCUCGCCUGUCCUCUGCCCGGCGCCCGAGAGGGGGCGGUCCCGCGGGCUGGGCGCAAGCGGGGUCCACCCCGCGAGCUCCGGAAAGGCAGCCGCCGGGGGCAGUGGAGCAGACCCGCGCCACCCGGGAGGAGGGGGUUGCAUCCCUCGGAUUGUGGCGGCGCGAACCGAAUCCGGACGGAGGCAGAUGUCAAGUGCUGGAACCUAGGCUGGGGGAUGCACGCUCCGGGCGCCCGGCGAGCCCUCUCCUCUUCGGCAAAGAGAAUGCUGCUCAGAAGUGCUCGUGUCCCCUCGCUCUAGGAGAGAUGACCAAACAGGUGGGCUCGCCGGGGAAAGACUGCGUUAAGCUGUCGACUUGAAGUAAAAAGACCUGUUAUCCAUUAAGUGUCCCUUUCAUGGAUGAAGAGGAAAAACAAACUCAUUUGACUGCUAAUUUGGUGGUUUUUGCCUACAAUGAAUGAGCUUCCUGGAAACUAUGUGGCUAAACCAUCUGGAGAAGAUGUGAAAAAAUAAACUACAGUUUACUAAGACAAAAUUACUUUAAUUCUUUUUCAAAUAAACCAUAAAACUUG